UGCUCCAGCUUCGGAGCAAAGUCCUGUGACGGAGGCAGAACAAAACCCCAGGGACGAGAAGGACAACUAGUUGUGCUCCUUCAAGGAGGCCCAUGCCAAGCCAAUCCCAGGAAAGGAGGGUGAAAUCCUCAGUGCACCUGCCCAGGGGACUGUUCCCGAGCCUGGCAAAUCAAACUGAAGAUGACCGACACGUCGUCCUUUUCUUAACUCCAUCCUGUUAUUCCUGGCCUUUCGUGACACACAAAAUGAAUACAUUUCUUGGAGCUGCAAUAUCACAUUUGUGCUCUCGCUCUCUCUCGUACACUAGAUAUCCAUGCUUUUCUUGCUGGUACAUGGUUAGAACCAUUUCUCUACAAGUUGGGAAGAAAAUGAAGAGUACUUCUUCCCCACAGCUGGAGCAGGCAGUGUUUUGAAGCUUGGUUCGGGUCAACACAUAGGUUAAUCCCAUCACAGGAAGCUUAUAUGGAACUACGGCAGAAUACACCCAGGCGGUACCUACUCAUCAUGGUUAAAAGUGUGUUGAAGGCACUUUGCACCUCUGAAGAAACCAAUAAAAGACCUGCUGUGCUGGGCAAAAUUUAGCGUGUCUUUGCUUAUUGGUGCCCCAGAUGCGUUAACAAGCUCUUAAUGCUGCCAGGUUAGCAAGCGGCAAAUGAUGAACGAAACCCAAUGCUUCCGCUUUUUAAUGUAACCCUCAUAAAAAGCACCAAGGACAGGAUGGGGAUAACCGGACUGCAGGAUUUAACCACAGAACAGGACUCUCCAGCAGAGCGGGAGGAUGAAGGCAGCACCUGCAGAUUGGGACCUGCACCAGCCACCGGUAACUCAAAGGGGAUGGGACACAAGUUGCAGCACGGGCCAAGGGAGCCACAGGGAACCUGGCACAACUGGACAGAAGGCGAAUAUUCAACUGUCGCAGAUUCUGGAUACGAGACAGGAGAAGACGUCCAGGUCCAUGGUCCUCAGCUUGUCAAAAUACAGCUCAGGGCGUUAUGUGAACAAUCAUGUCCUUCCUCUCAACACAGAGUUGGCUUCUGUAUAUUAUCAUCCCCUGGACUGGGGUUGGAGAGGGGAGGAAGACUCAUGAGUAACAUCCACGAAACAAAGAAUAAGUGAAACCUUGCCCUGUCUCUCUCAAGUUUUCCACACAAAGAGACGGUGGUCUCCUUAACACCGGAUUAAGUAUCAGGUCAUACUUUAGUUUCAAACUACCUGACCUGAGAGGCGAUCUGCGCUAGCCAUGGAGACUUUAUUAUACCUGUGUAAUGUUGCUCCCUGCCCUUCCUUUCCCAAACCCUGGCAAU